UACGAACUGUGCGAACGUUAUUCGGAAUCACUGGGCUUACAGGGUGCGUAGGUGGCGGGGAAAGUAGGGUGUGAAAUGCCUUGGCUCAACCAAGGCACAGCGCUCUAAACUACCUCGCUCGAGUGAGUCAGGGGUCUGCGGAACUUCCGGUGGAGCGGUGAAAUGUGUUGAUAUCGGAAGGAACACCGGUGGCGAAAGCGGCAGACUGGGGCUCAACUGACACUGAGGCACGAAAGCCAGGGGAG
rnacentral:rRNA from 1 species